CCAGAUCAGACCAUAUGAGGACUAGGUGAUAAAAGAGGCAAUGUUCAGCCUGGAGAUGAACAGCCUUGAAGAAAUGUGAGAGCUGCCUUCAAGAAUGUGAUGGACUGUCACCUGGAUAAGGAAAUUAUCAUCUUCUGCUUGGUCCCAGAGAGCACAGCUGGGAACAUGGAUGGGAGCUGCAGAAUGGUUUGGGAUUGGACCUACGUGAUUUCAUCGGCAUAGAGAAUUCCCAGUGUGGAGCUCCCUCUUGGGAUGGAUGCACAUUGACACCUCAUCUAUAACAUAGUUGAAGACAGCUGCCUGGGGCAUCAGAGGUUAGGGACUUGCCCAGGGACACCUGGCUGUGCUAGAAGGACUCGAACCCACAUCUUCCUGACUCUAAGGAGACCCCCCUCUCAUCCACCCAUUACACAGAAUAUACCAGUUUGGGCCAGUGCCUGGAAAAAGGAACUCUUGUUAGCACAUCCUCUCUAUGUUGGUUUCCUUCAGCUGAGCUGAACUCUUCUACAGUCUGUCUGCCCUCAGCCCAUAGGACUGCCCAGGCUGCCUUCUGCUUUGUGAUUCUGUUAUGGCGAGCGCUGUUGCCCCCUGAUGUGGAUGUGGACUUCAGCUGACGGCUAAUUCCUGUGCUGGAUUUUGGUGUUUACCAGAAGGGGCUUUAUCAGCUGUGGGGAGAGGAAA